AUAUCAAUAAGCGGAGGAAAAGAAACCAACAGGGAUUGCCUCAGUAACGGCGAGUGAAGCGGCAACAGCUCAAAUUUGAAAUCUGGCCCUCUCAGGGUCCGAGUUGUAAUUUGGAGAAGAUGCUUCGGGUGUGGCCCCGGUCUAAGUUCCUUGGAACAGGACGUCACAGAGGGUGAGAAUCCCGUACGUGACCGGUGGCCGCCCCCGUGUGAAGCUCUUUCGACGAGUCGAGUUGUUUGGGAAUGCAGCUCAAAAUGGGUGGUAAAUUUCAUCUAAAGCUAAAUAUUGGCCAGAGACCGAUAGCGCACAAGUAGAGUGAUCGAAAGAUGAAAAGCACUUUGGAAAGAGAGUUAAACAGUAC
rnacentral:rRNA from 1 species